UAUGUGAUCGUCUCUCGCAUAUCAAUAAGCGGAGGAAAAGAAACUAACAAGGAUUCCCCUAGUAACGGCGAGUGAAGCGGGAAGAGCUCAAAUUUGAAAUCUUAAAGGGUUUCCCUUUACGAAUUGUAGUUUAAAGAAGUGUUUUCUGUUGAGGUUUUGGUAAAAGUUCUUUGGAAUAGGACAUCAUAGAGGGUGAGAAUCCCGUAUUUGACCUUUACUUUCAACUUUGUGAUACACUUUCAAAGAGUCGGAUUGUUUGGGAAUGCAGUCCAAAAUGGGCGGUAAAUUUCAUCUAAAGCUAAAUAUUGGCGAGAGACCGAUAGCGAACAAGUACCGUGAGGGAAAGAUGAAAAGAACUUUGAAAAGAGAGUUAAACAGUACGUGAAAUUGUCAAAAGGGAAGCGUUUGACACCAGUGUUGUUUUUCUGAAAAUCAAUUAAAGAACUGUUUAUGCUAAGCUUGUUUAGACUUUAUCAGCUAUCUGUUUAGUUUUGAGCUUUUCCUUUAAUGCACUUUUCAGUUAACAAGUCAACAUCAAUUUCUUUUGCUGUAAAAAAGCUUGAGGAAGGUGGCUUGAGAUUCGUCUUAAGUGUUUAUAGCCUCUUGCCUAUGCAGUCGGAGAGAUUGAGGUCUGCAGCGUAGAUCCUUCGGGGCUAAAUGCAUUUGUGCUAGGUUAUAGCAUUUUAUAGACAACUUGUUGACUAUGAUUUGUCUUGUAGCUUACUCGCUUAUGUUAUUUUACCUACGCUUAGGAUGUUGAACGCGCACAGAGUCUC
rnacentral:rRNA from 1 species